AUCCUGGAGAUCCAGGGCAUGAAAGCUGCCCUGGUGGGAGGAGGGAGGAGAUCAGGGUGUGGGCCUGGACUCUACUGGAUACUACGACCAGGAGAUCUACGGUGGCAGCGAUAGCCGCUCGCUGGAUAUGUCACCUCCAUCGCGCCAAUGAACAGGAGGAUGAUGAUGAGGAGGACUCAUCAACGAGUCUACUUGGACAGAAGAAACCGGGAUAUCACGCUCCGGUGGCUAUACUCAAUGCAAUACCACAGUCAGAUGAACAGUACGACCCGUUCGCCGAACACCGGCCCGCUAAGAUUGCAGAGCGUGAAGACGAGUACAAGGCCAGACGUCGACAGAUGAUCAUCUCUCCGGAGCGUCUUGACCCCUUUGCAGACGGUAAAUUUCACCCUCCAUGUUCCCUCCAUAGUGUCCUCCCCUGAUAUAUGUUAUGUGUAGUACUGUAUCUGCCAUGAUCCCAUGGAUGCCUUUCAAGGGUUCCAACCCACCUCUUGCUGCUUAGCCCUUCGAGCACUGUGCACCUGCUUGCUCCCCAGACUAAGACCUUCCCUUGGUAAUAUUUUCUGCCCCGAGGGUGUCUUUUUUAUCACUCAUCAUUUUGUCUCAAUAAAAUCUCUUUGCUUUUGGUGCAAACCUGGCAGAUACAAGUUUUUUUUUUUUUUCCCGAAAAUUAGAAUAAUUGUAAACUAAUUAAGUUGUGCGAAGUUGUGGGAAAUUCAACUUUUGCCAGUAAGUGGGUCCAUAUGUUUUAGGGAGAGGUGGUUAGGUGGUUGUUGUCUUGGUUACAGACUAUUAUACCUAAUACUACAUGGGUGGCAGGUCGCCUGUGAGUGUCUCGAAGGGUUAACAGACACAUGUGGCUAUCUAUAUCAUGAACUGUUUAAUUUAAAGAAAGGUAUUGGGUAAUGUGAGUAGCAACAUGUUUUUAAUUGUUUGUGAUUUAAUGCUUAUCCUUGGGGUAAUUCACCUGCUCAUACAAUGUGCUGCACCCUGCUGUACCCAGUAAGCGGUAACGCAAUGACCCCAUUACCGCACACACAAACCACCCC
ensembl:lncRNA